UGUCAUCAGGCUCUCGCACAGUUUGCCUCCCUCGCCUUCUCUGCCGCUAGGCGGGAUCACGUCAUCUUCGCCAUCGCCGAUGAUGUCACGAGGUCAUUCGAGGUCGACUGUAAUGACGUGCUCGUCUACCAGAUGGCAGAGCUACCGAUAACGGGUGCAGUGGAGAUGCUGCCCUCUGGAACAGGUUCAGCCUUAGUACAGGUAAAAUGGUCGUACAACGUGAAGGAAGAAGGACUUCCAGCCGCAUUGGAUCUCACGUUGAAUGUCAUUCACUACAGCGCAGACAACGUGCACGUGCGAGUGUG